rnacentral:rRNA from 1 species
CCUACGGGGGGCUGCAGUGGGGAAUAUUGGACAAUGGGGGCAACCCUGAUCCAGCCAUGCCGCGUGUGUGAAGAAGGCCCUCGGGUUGUAAAGCACUUUCAGUGAGGAAGAACGCCUGAUGGUUAAUACCCAUCAGGAAAGACAUCACUCACAGAAGAAGCACCGGCUAACUCCGUGCCAGCAGCCGCGGUAAUACGGAGGGUGCGAGCGUUAAUCGGAAUUACUGGGCGUAAAGCGCGCGUAGGUGGCUUGAUAAGCCGGUUGUGAAAGCCCCGGGCUCAACCUGGGAACGGCAUCCGGAACUGUCAAGCUAGAGUGCAGGAGAGGAAGGUAGAAUUCCCGGUGUAGCGGUGAAAUGCGUAGAGAUCGGGAGGAAUACCAGUGGCGAAGGCGGCCUUCUGGACUGACACUGACACUGAGGUGCGAAAGCGUGGGUAGCAAACAGGAUUAGAUACCCUAGUAGUC